UGGGGAAUUUUUCGCAAUGGGCGCAAGCCUGACGAAGCAACGCCGCGUGGAGGAUGAAGGCCCUAGCGGUUGUAAACUCCUGUCUAGCGGGACGAAGGUACAGGUUGCAAAUAGCGAUCUGUAUUGACUGUACCGCUGGAGGAAGCUCCGGCUAACUCCGUGCCAGCAGCCGCGGUAAUACGGAGGGAGCAAGCGUUACUCGGAAUUAUUGGGCGUAAAGGGCGCGUAGGCGAUUUGACAAGUCUUGUGUGAAAGCCCAGGGCUUAACUCUGGAAGUGCACAAGAAACUGUUGAAUUUGAGUACAGGAGAGGAAGGCAGAAUUCCCGGUGUAGCGGUGAAAUGCGUAGAUAUCGGGAGGAAUACCAGUGGCGAAGGCGGCCUUCUGGACUGUAACUGACGCUGAGGCGCGAAAGCUAGGGGAGCAAACGG
rnacentral:rRNA from 1 species